AAACAGUAACGAAUGGCAUUGUAGAAAAGAGAGAGCCGUAAUGCAGAAGAGAAGUUGUGUAUUCUUUCGGUGUACACAUGCAUUUUCAAUUUGCUGUGAAACAUAUGAACAUGCACAGGGAACAAUACUACAUAUUUGUUUAAGGAGGAUAUUUUUCUCGUGUGAAUCGUUUACGAGGAAAUUCUGACAGCCACACUUCUGUCGACGAUCAGCCGUUGAUAAGCUACGAGUAAUAAAGGAGAAAAGAUGGACAUUAAAGUGUGUGAUUUAUGUGGAUGUUACUGAAGAAGCUCAAAACAGACUCUUGUUACCACAUGGCUUUUACCGGUACCUGUUGAUUCUUGUGGGUCAGCUCCUAAGAUUAACCUGUCACCUCUAUCCACAUGCAUAUUCCUUGUGUUCUACAGACUAUUUACUGAUUGAUGAAGAAACAAGCCUUUUCGAGAAGUGGAAGAAGAAGAAAUUUGAAUUAUGUUCUUAUCUAAAUAAAGAAGAUUUUCCUAAG
rnacentral:sRNA from 1 species